rnacentral:rRNA from 1 species
GACGAACGCUGGCGGCGUGCUUAACACAUGCAAGUCGAACGAUGAACCCGGAGCUUGCUCUGGGGGAUUAGUGGCGAACGGGUGAGUAACACGUGAGUAACCUGCCCUGGACUCUGGGAUAAGCGUUGGAAACGCCGUCUAAUACCGGAUAGGACCUUGGAUCGCAUGAUCUGGGGUGGAAAGUUUUUUCGGUCUGGGAUGGACUCGCGGCCUAUCAGCUUGUUGGUGAGGUAAUGGCUCACCAAGGCGUCGACGGGUAGCCGGCCUGAGAGGGUGACCGGCCACACUGGGACUGAGACACGGCCCAGACUCCUACGGGAGGCAGCAGUGGGGAAUAUUGCACAAUGGGCGAAAGCCUGAUGCAGCAACGCCGCGUGCGGGAGGACGGCCUUCGGGUUGUAAACCGCUUUUAGUAGGGAAGAAGGGCUUCGGCUUGACGGUACCUGCAGAAAAAGGACCGGCUAACUACGUG